rnacentral:rRNA from 1 species
UGGGGAAUAUUGCACAAUGGGCGCAAGCCUGAUGCAGCCAUGCCGCGUGUGUGAAGAAGGCCUUCGGGUUGUAAAGCACUUUCAGCGGGGAGGAAGGCGAUAAGGUUAAUAACCUUGUCGAUUGACGUUACCCGCAGAAGAAGCACCGGCUAACUCCGUGCCAGCAGCCGCGGUAAUACGGAGGGUGCAAGCGUUAAUCGGAAUUACUGGGCGUAAAGCGCACGCAGGCGGUCUGUCAAGUCGGAUGUGAAAUCCCCGGGCUCAACCUGGGAACUGCAUUCGAAACUGGCAGGCUAGAGUCUUGUAGAGGGGGGUAGAAUUCCAGGUGUAGCGGUGAAAUGCGUAGAGAUCUGGAGGAAUACCGGUGGCGAAGGCGGCCCCCUGGACAAAGACUGACGCUCAGGUGCGAAAGCGUGGGGGGCAAACAGG